UCAAGUCUUUGAACGCAAGUUGCGCCCGAGGCCAAUCGGCUAAGGGCACGUCUGCCUGGGCGUCAAGCGUUGCGUCACUUCGUACCAUCACCACACACUAAUGGGUGUGUUGCUGUAGGCUCGAAUGUGAAGAGUGGUUCGCCGUGCCCAUUGGUGCG
rnacentral:rRNA from 1 species